rnacentral:rRNA from 1 species
UACGGAAGGCAGCAGUGGGGAAUAUUGCACAAUGGGCGCAAGCCUGAUGCAGCCAUGCCGCGUGUAUGAAGAAGGCCUUCGGGUUGUAAAGUACUUUCAGUCGUGAGGAAGGUGUUAAGGUUAAUAACCUUAGCAAUUGACGUUAGCGACAGAAGAAGCACCGGCUAACUCCGUGCCAGCAGCCGCGGUAAUACGGAGGGUGCGAGCGUUAAUCGGAAUUACUGGGCGUAAAGGGCACGCAGGCGGUUAAUUAAGUUGGAUGUGAAAUCCCCGGGCUUAACCUGGGAAUGGCAUUCAAGCUGGUUAGCUAGAGUCUUGUAGAGGGGGUAGAAUUCCAUGUGUAGCGGUGAAAUGCGUAGAGAUGUGGAGGAAUACCGGUGGCGAAGGCGGCCCCUGGACAAAGGACUGACGCUCAUGUGCGAAAGCGUGGGGAGCGAAACAGGGAU